GUCCAGCUGACGAGUCCCAAAUAGGACGAAACGCGCAUCCUGGAU
rfam:Schistosoma curassoni strain Dakar, Senegal genome assembly, scaffold: SCTD_scaffold0003255